CAUUAAGAAGCUAUGGACCAGCGUUAGCCUUUUAAGCUAAAGAAAGAGGCAAAAAAGCCUCCUUAAUGG
rnacentral:tRNA from 1 species